rnacentral:piRNA from 1 species
UAGCUUUGCUGAGGUNUCGGGGUGUGUC